rnacentral:rRNA from 1 species
GGUCAAGUAAUGAAGUGCACAUGGUGGAUGCCUUGGCAGUCAGAGGCGAAGAAAGACGUGAUAGCCUGCGAUAAGCGUCGGUGAGGUGGCAAUAUCCUGUGACCCGGCGAUUUCUGAAUGGGGAAACCCAACCAACAUAAGUUGGUUAUUACACAGUUUACUGUGUAAGGCAAACCGGGAGAAGUGAAACAUCUCAGUACCCCGAGGAAAAGACAUCAAAUGAGAUUCCGUAAGUAGCGGCGAGCGAACACGGAGGAGCCGAUCAAUUUUACAGUAGCAAAAUGGCGUGGGAAAGCCAACCAUAGUAGGUGAUAGUCCUGUAUGCGAAACUGUUUAAGCGACAUAUUAAGUAGGGCGGAACACGAGAAAUUCUGUCUGAAGAUGGGGGGACCAUCCUCCAAGGCUAAAUACUCCUGACUGACCGAUAGUGAACCAGUACCGUGAGGGAAAGGCGAAAAGAACCCCUGUUAGGGGAGUGAAAUAGAACCUGAAACCGUGUGCAUACAAGCAGUCGGAGCGGACUUGUUCCGUGACGGCGUACCUUUUGUAUAAUGGGUCAGCGACUUAUAUUCUGUAGCAAGGUUAACCGGAUAGGGGAGCCGUAGGGAAACCGAGUCUUAAUAGGGCGAAUGAGUUGCAGGGUAUAGACCCGAAACCGAGUGAUCUAUCCAUGAGCAGGUUGAAAGUGCCGUAACAGGCACCGGAGGACCGAACCCACUGUCGUUGAAAAGCCAGGGGAUGACUUGUGGAUAGGGGUGAAAGGCUAAUCAAACUCGGUGAUAGCUGGUUCUCCCCGAAAGCUAUUUAGGUAGCGCCUCGGACGAACACCAUUGGGGGUAGAGCACUGUUUCGGCUAGGGGGUCACACCGACUUACCAAACCGAUGCAAACUCCGAAUACCGAUGAGUGAUAUCCGGGAGACAGACGGCGGGUGCUAACGUCCGUCGUCAAGAGGGAAACAACCCAGACCGCCAGCUAAGGCCCCAAAUUCCUAGUUAAGUGGGAAACGAUGUGGGAAGGCACAGACAGCUAGGAGGUUGGCUUAGAAGCAGCCACCCUUUAAAGAAAGCGUAAUAGCUCACUAGUCGAGUCGGCCUGCGCGGAAGAUGUAACGGGGCUCAAACUAGGAGCCGAAGCUGCGGAUUUAAUUGUUUCAAUUAAGUGGUAGGGGAGCGUUGUGUAAGCCUGUGAAGGUGCACUGUAAGGUGUGCUGGAGGUAUCACAAGAGCGAAUGCUGACGUGAGUAACGACAAAACGGGUGAAAAGCCCGUUCGCCGGAAGACCAAGGGUUCCAGUCCAACGUUAAUCGGGGCUGGGUGAGUCGACCCCUAAGGCGAGGCCGAAAGGCGUAGUCGAUGGGAAAUCGGUUAAUAUUCCGAUACUUGUUUAUGAUGCGAUGGAGGGACGGAGAAGGUUAUGCCAGCCUGGCGAUGGUUGUCCAGGUGGAAGGAUGUAGUUAGACUGAGUAGGCAAAUCCGCUCGGUUAUUAAUGAGAUCUGAUAGCAAGCCAGUUUACUGGCAAAGUGGCAAAUACCCUGCUUCCAGGAAAAGCUUCUAAGCGAUAGUCAUAAACGAAUCGUACCCGAAACCGACACAGGUGGUCAGGUAGAGAAUACCAAGGCGCUUGAGAGAACUCUGCUGAAGGAACUAGGCAAAAUGGUACCGUAACUUCGGGAGAAGGUACGCUGCCGAUGGUGAUAAGACUUGCUCUUUGAGCUGUUGGCAGUCGCAGAUACCAGGCUGCUGCAACUGUUUAUUAAAAACACAGCACUCUGCAAACACGAAAGUGGACGUAUAGGGUGUGAUGCCUGCCCGGUGCUGGAAGGUUAAUUGAUGGGGUUAGCGUAAGCGAAGCUCUUGAUCGAAGCCCCAGUAAACGGCGGCCGUAACUAUAACGGUCCUAAGGUAGCGAAAUUCCUUGUCGGGUAAGUUCCGACCUGCACGAAUGGCAUAAUGAUGGCAGCGCUGUCUCCAGCAGAGACUCAGUGAAAUCGAAAUCGCAGUGAAGAUGCUGUGUACCCGCGGCUAGACGGAAAGACCCCGUGAACCUUUACUACAGCUUUACAUUGAACUUUGACCUAACUUGUGUAGGAUAGGUGGGAGGCUUUGAAGCAGAUACGCCAGUAUUUGUGGAGCCAACCUUGAAAUACCACCCUGGUUAUGUUGGGGUUCUAACUUAGGAUUAACAAAUCCAAGGACAAUGUAUGGUGGGUAGUUUGACUGGGGCGGUCUCCUCCUAAAGAGUAACGGAGGAGUACGAAGGUGCGCUCAGAACGGUCGGAAAUCGUUCAAAGAGUAUAAAGGCAAAAGCGCGCUUAACUGCGAGACCCACAAGUCGAGCAGGUACGAAAGUAGGUCUUAGUGAUCCGGUGGUUCUGUAUGGAAGGGCCAUCGCUCAACGGAUAAAAGGUACUCUGGGGAUAACAGGCUGAUACCGCCCAAGAGUUCAUAUCGACGGCGGUGUUUGGCACCUCGAUGUCGGCUCAUCUCAUCCUGGGGCUGAAGCAGGUCCCAAGGGUAUGGCUGUUCGCCAUUUAAAGAGGUACGCGAGCUGGGUUUAGAACGUCGUGAGACAGUUCGGUCCCUAUCUACCGUGGGCGUUGGAAAUUUGAGAGGAUCUGCUCCUAGUACGAGAGGACCAGAGUGGACGAACCUCUGGUGUUUCGGUUGUCACGCCAGUGGCAUUGCCGAGUAGCUACGUUCGGAUGGGAUAACCGCUGAAAGCAUCUAAGCGGGAAGCCCACCUCAAGAUAAGAUUUCCCUAAAGAGCCGUUGUAGACUACGACGUUGAUAGGUUGGGUGUGGAAGUGUAGUGAUACAUGUAGCUAACCAAUACUAAUUGCUCGUUUGGCUUGACCAU